AUGGAUCCUCAUCCACUUUCUAAUAUUUUUAAGAGAUCAAAUGAACCAACUGCUAGUGAGUUGUGUAGACUAGAUUAUCUUUAUGAAGUUUUGCUUGAAAUUCGUGAAUCUGAAAAUUGUGAUGAAGUGCUAAAAGAAGAAAUUUAUGAAGUGAUUCACGAUAGCUCCUUGAAUGAAAAGCAUGAUUGCAAUGAUGUUAUCAUAAAUUCUAUUAAUGUCAAUUGUGCUAAUAAUAUGCAAAACCCUAAGCUUGAGGAUGCUAAUUUUGCUAUGUCCACUACUUAUUGCAAUGAUCAUGAUUGGGGUGAUAAUGUUUCUUAUGAUCUUGAAAAUUUGUGUAAGCCCCAUGAUAAAUAUGAUAUUGAUAAUAAUGUUUGCAAUAAUAUUGAAAGUGGGUUUGGAAGAGUGUCAACUUUAGGAAAUAACGAUCCCACUACUUUGGAGAAUGAUCAAUCUUAUGAAUAUUUUGAUAAAAGUGGGUUUGAAGAGGUCAUGGCUUUAUUUGAUGAUAAUCCACUAUUUUGGAAGAGUGUCAACUUUGCAUGCAUGUGGAUCAUGAAGAGAAUAUUUUAUAUGAUAGCUAUAUUGUUGAAUUUGAUUAUGGUCCCACAUGUACUUACUAUGAGAGGAAAAUUCGGUUGUAGAAAUUUUCAUGUUACUAAAUUACCUCUCGUUAUGUUGAGAUUGCUAUUGUUUCUUUCUUCUUCCUUGCAUAUGCUAGUUUUUCCUUGUCUUGAUAAUUUGUUUGCUUAUAAAAUGCCUACGCAUAGGAAGUAUGUUAGACUUAAUUUUCUUUCCGCAUGUUACAUGCUGCUCUCUUCGUGUUUCAAUUGCUAUCUUUCAUGUGAGCAUCAUUAA
rnacentral:rRNA from 1 species